rnacentral:rRNA from 1 species
GAUGAACGCUGGCGGCGUGCCUAAUACAUGCAAGUCGAGCGAACGGACGAGAAGCUUGCUUCUCUGAUGUUAGCGGCGGACGGGUGAGUAACACGUGGAUAACCUACCUAUAAGACUGGGAUAACUUCGGGAAACCGGAGCUAAUACCGGAUAAUAUUCUGAACCGCAUGGUUCAAAAGUGAAAGACGGUCUUGCUGUCACUUAUAGAUGGAUCCGCGCUGCAUUAGCUAGUUGGUAAGGUAACGGCUUACCAAGGCAACGAUGCAUAGCCGACCUGAGAGGGUGAUCGGCCACACUGGAACUGAGACACGGUCCAGACUCCUACGGGAGGCAGCAGUAGGGAAUCUUCCGCAAUGGGCGAAAGCCUGACGGAGCAACGCCGCGUGAGUGAUGAAGGUCUUCGGAUCGUAAAACUCUGUUAUUAGGGAAGAACAUAUGUGUAAGUAACUGUGCACAUCUUGACGGUACCUAAUCAGAAAGCCACGGCUAACUACGU